AUUGAACGCUGGCGGCAGGCCUAACACAUGCAAGUCGAGCGGAUGAAGGGAGCUUGCUCCUGGAUUCAGCGGCGGACGGGUGAGUAAUGCCUAGGAAUCUGCCUGGUAGUGGGGGAUAACGUCCGGAAACGGGCGCUAAUACCGCGUACGGCCUGAGGGAGAAAGUGGGGGAUCUUCGGACCUCACGCUAUCAGAUGAGCCUAGGUCGGAUUAGCUAGUUGGUGGGGUAAAGGCCUACCAAGGCGACGAUCCGUAACUGGUCUGAGAGGAUGAUCAGUCACACUGGAACUGAGACACGGUCCAGACUCCUACGGGAGGCAGCAGUGGGGAAUAUUGGACAAUGGGCGAAAGCCUGAUCCAGCCAUGCCGCGUGUGUGAAGAAGGUCUUCGGAUUGUAAAGCACUUUAAGUUGGGAGGAAGGGCAGUAAGUUAAUACCUUGCUGUUUUGACGUUACCAACAGAAUAAGCACCGGCUAACUUCGUG
rnacentral:rRNA from 1 species